GACGAGGGAUCCUAGCGUUGUUCGGAAUUAUUGGGCGUAAAGCGGGUGUAGGUGGACCUGUAAGUCAGAAGUGAAAGCCUAGGGCUUAACCCUAGAAGUGCUUUUGAUACUGCGAGUCUUGAGUGCUGGAGAGGCUAUUAGAAUUCUUGGUGUAGUGGUGAAAUACGUAGAUAUCAAGAGGAAUACCGGAGGCGAAGGCGGAUAGCUGGCCAGACACUGACACUGAGACCCGAAAGCGUGGGGAUCAAGCAGG
rnacentral:rRNA from 1 species